UGUACGACGAACACGAGAACACAUCUAUAGCUAUAAGCCAGAACUAUGGUUGAAGCUACCUUGAAGCUUGUGGUAAUCUUUUUCAUAUUUUACUUUCUUCUCUGCGGAUAGAGAACGUCGUGAUAGAAGUCCGUCGCGUUCUCCACCACGCAGCCCACGGCGAAGAGGAAGCCCUGAAGGACGACGGCCUGUAGGCGGUCAAGGAGUACCUGAUGUUGUUCUCAGGAGAGGCCAAAGAGCACCUAGAGAUGACCGCCGACAUGGCGUGGUUAUUGACAAUGGGAAAAAUAAUGGAUAGCCCUGAAUAAAAUGCCGACCUUCGA